GACCUGGAGCGAAAGACAGCUUCCCUUUUUUGCCCUCUCUUGUUCCCUUUUCCUGCAAGACUCCUGUGAUGUUCCUAUAUAUUAGUGUAUAUAUGCCACUCCCCAAGGGAAGCCCAUGCAGCCCCAUCUUGAAGUUGGUUCCACUAUCUUGUCAAGAUGAACUUUGUCAGGGGAAGGCUGAUGAAGGCUAAGAGAAGCUGAAAGUGAAAAUGACCAGACCUUGUCUAUAAUUAAACCAG